rnacentral:rRNA from 1 species
CAGUAGCCGCGGUAAUACGUAGGUGGCAAGCGUUGUCCGGAAUUAUUGGGCGUAAAGGGCUCGCAGGCGGUUUCUUAAGUCUGAUGUGAAAGCCCCCGGCUCAACCGGGGAGGGUCAUUGGAAACUGGGAAACUUGAGUGCAGAAGAGGAGAGUGGAAUUCCACGUGUAGCGGUGAAAUGCGUAGAGAUGUGGAGGAACACCAGUGGCGAAGGCGACUCUCUGGUCUGUAACUGACGCUGAGGGGCGAAAGCGUGGGGAGCGAACAGGAUUAGAUACCCCUGUAGUCCCUGUCUCUUAUAC